UACGUAGGGUGCGAGCGUUAAUCGGAAUUACUGGGCGUAAAGCGUGCGCAGGCGGUUUUGUAAGCCAGAUGUGAAAUCCCCGGGCUUAACCUGGGAAUGGCAUUUGGGACUGCAAGGCUGGAGUGUGGCAGAGGAGACUGGAAUUCCCGGUGUAGCAGUGAAAUGCGUAGAUAUCAGGAGGAACACCGGUGGCGAAGGCGGGUCUCUGGGCCGAUACUGACGCUGAGGAGCGAAAGCGUGGGGAGCGAACAGG
rnacentral:rRNA from 1 species